rnacentral:rRNA from 1 species
AUUGAACGCUGGCGGCAGGCCUAACACAUGCAAGUCGAGCGAGCGGCGGACGGGUGAGUAAUGUCUGGGGAUCUGCCCGAUGGAGGGGGAUAACUACUGGAAACGGUGGCUAAUACCGCAUACUAUCGGAUGAACCCAUAUGGGAUUAGCUAGUAGGUGGGGUAAAGGCUCACCUAGGCGACGAUCCCUAGCUGGUCUGAGAGGAUGACCAGCCACACUGGGACGGAGACACGGCCCAGACUCCUACGGGAGGCAGCAGUGGGGAAGAUUGCACAAUGGGCGCAAGCCUGAUGCAGCCAUGCCGCGUGUAUGAAGAAGGCCUUCGGGUUGUAAAGUACUUUCAGCAGGGAGGCGUUACCGGCAGAAGAAGCACCGGCUAACUCCGUGCCAGCAGCCGCGGUAAUUC